rnacentral:rRNA from 1 species
UACGUAGGGGGCAAGCGUUGUCCGGAAUUAUUGGGCGUAAAGAGCGUGUAGGCGGUCAGGUAGGUCCGUUGUGAAAACUCGAGGCUCAACCUCGAGACGCCGAUGGAAACCAUCUGACUAGAGUCCGGAAGAGGAGAGUGGAAUUCCUGGUGUAGCGGUGAAAUGCGCAGAUAUCAGGAAGAACACCCGUGGCUAAGGCGGCUCUCUAGUACGGUACUGACGCUGAGACGCGAAAGCGUGGGGAGCGAACAGG